rnacentral:rRNA from 1 species
GACGAACGCUGGCGGCGUGCUUAACACAUGCAAGUCGAACGGAAAGGCCCUGCUUUUGUGGGGUGCUCGAGUGGCGAACGGGUGAGUAACACGUGAGUAACCUGCCCUUGACUUUGGGAUAACUUCAGGAAACUGGGGCUAAUACCGGAUAGGAGCUCCUGCUGCAUGGUGGGGGUUGGAAAGUUUCGGCGGUUGGGGAUGGACUCGCGGCUUAUCAGCUUGUUGGUGGGGUAGUGGCUUACCAAGGCUUUGACGGGUAGCCGGCCUGAGAGGGUGACCGGCCACAUUGGGACUGAGAUACGGCCCAGACUCCUACGGGAGGCAGCAGUGGGAAAUAUUGCACAAUGGGCGGAAGCCUGAUGCAGUAACGCCGCGUGCGGGAUGACGGCCUUCGGGUUGUAAACCGCUUUCGCCUGUGACGAAGCGUGAGUGACGGUAAUGGGUAAAGAAGCACCGGCUAACUACGUG